UGGGGAAUAUUGGACAAUGGGCGCAAGCCUGAUCCAGCCAUACCGCGUGGGUGAAGAAGGCCUUCGGGUUGUAAAGCCCUUUUGUUGGGAAAGAAAAGCAGCCGGUUAAUACCCGGUUGUUCUGACGGUACCCAAAGAAUAAGCACCGGCUAACUUCGUGCCAGCAGCCGCGGUAAUACGAAGGGUGCAAGCGUUACUCGGAAUUACUGGGCGUAAAGCGUGCGUAGGUGGUUGUUUAAGUCUGUCGUGAAAGCCCUGGGCUCAACCUGGGAAUUGCGAUGGAAACUGGGCGACUAGAGUGUGGCAGAGGGUAGUGGAAUUCCUGGUGUAGCAGUGAAAUGCGUAGAGAUCAGGAGGAACAUCCAUGGCGAAGGCGACUGCCUGGGCCAACACUGACACUGAGGCACGAAAGCGUGGGGAGCAAACAGG
rnacentral:rRNA from 1 species